AAACUGAACCAAGACUAAAGAACCAUGCUCCGUUUCUGGGCGUUCCUCGGUCUGGUGGGCCUUGCCCACUGUGCCACCCAGGGCAUGUCAAUCAGGUCCCACUGGGACGGUGGAUUCGCCGGCACCAUCACGCUGGCCCCCACCCACACAGUGCACGGCUGGACGGCUCACCUCGCCUGUGACGCCCCUAUCGACUCUCUGGAGAUUUGGACGGCAGACAUUGUAUCCUCAAAUGGAGACAAAUCUGAAUACGUUAUCAGAAAUAAACCAUACGAUGGCGACAUUCACAACGGGGAUUCCCUGAACGUGGACAUUGUGGGGCGUACCCCAGGCAGCUCCACUGCUCCCAACUGUCGAGUCUUCAUCGAAGGACAGGAUCACGGAAACCCAGCAACCAGUGCCCCCCAAACACAGGCCCCCUCUGGCGGUGGUGGAUCACAGACUCAGGCGCCAUCUGGCGGCUCCGCUUCCCCGGAGACAGUUACCCCGGGAGCUUCCUGCGGAAGCGCCAAGAGCACAAAAUACAAUUAUGGCGAUGCUUUGGGUCUGUCAAUUCUGUUCUUCGACGCCCAGAGAUCUGGAAAGAUGCCAGCCAGCAAUCCUAUUCCAUGGAGACACGAUUCCGCCAUGAAUGACCACGGAGAUGGAGGCGUUGACCUCACAGGAGGGUGGUAUGAUGCUGGAGAUCACGUGAAGUUUAACCUGCCUAUGGCUUUCUCGGCUCACGUGCUCGCCUAUGGUUUGAACCGAUGGAAGGAUGGCUACUCCAGCUCCAAUCAGCUACAGAACAUGUACGAGAUGCUGCGUACUCCAUUAGACUACUUCAUGAAGUGUUGGAGACCCCAGUCCCAGGAAUACUACGCUCAGGUCGGGAACGGCGCCGCUGACCAUGCCUUCUGGGGCCGCCCUGAGGACAUGCACAUGCAGAGACCCGCCUACAAGUGCACCGCCUCCAAUGGCGGAUGUAGUGACGUAGAGGGAAUCACGGUGGCUGCAUUGGCGGCAGGAUCCAUGGCUUUCAAGGCCUCUGAUGCCGCGUACUCGCAGAGACUGCUAGCUUCUGCUAAGAGUUUGUAUGAUUUCGCUAAUGCACACAAAGGAAUCUACAACAAAGGACCAAUCUCGGACGCUACCUCGUACUACGGAUCUACCGGCUACAAGGAUGAGCUGUGCGUGGCCGCCAUGGAGCUGUACAAGGCGACCAAGGACGCCAAGUACCUUAACGACGCCAAGGCCAACUUUGAAGGAAACGAUGUCGCUUGGGCGCUCUCAUGGGACGACAACCACGUGAUGUGUGAAGUAAGUGAAUCGUGUCUGCCUUGGAUCCGUCUUGCAACUAUAUGAAUUUGUGAACCGUGAAUCAUUGUGGUAUUAAUUGCUGGCCUUUUAACACAAACGUUGUAGGCGUUAAUGUCAUUAAUACCCGCGAACAAACCGCGACUUUUACAGUUUAGACAUACAGAAGGAAUCACAAUCCAAAAGUGAUGAUUUUUAAGCUUUGAUUAACUUGAUUCAGAGGUCGAUAUACUGCCAGGAAAAGAUAAAUGUUAGAAAUAAUCAAUAUUAGCAGAUAAAAUGAUUAAGACAAGGAGGCGCAUAAAAUUAAGUGAUACAUUAUAACAGUUCACGAAGGUAAACCCUGAUUUGUUGACCGUUUUAGCUCCUGCUGUAUGAAGAGACAAAGGACAACAGAUACAAGGGUCUUGUGGAGUCCUUUGUCCGGUCCUACAUGCCCGGGGGCUCAGUCCACCAGACACCGUGCGGGCUGGCCUGGAGAGACCAGUGGGGCUCUCUCAGAUACGCAGCUAACGCCGCCUUCGUUGCUCUGGCCGCGGCCGAGGACGGCAUUGGUGGGGACCAGUUUAAGAGUUGGGCUCUGAGUCAGAUCAACUAUAUCCUGGGGGAUAACAGGAACCAUUUGAGCUACGAGAUCGGGUUCGGAAGUAACUACCCCAGACAGCCCCACCACAGAGGAAGUUCCUGCCCCAACCCGCCCGCUGGAUGUGGAUGGAAUGAAUUCAACAACCCUGGCCCCAGUCCCCAGCUGCUCAAGGGAGCGUUAGUUGGAGGUCCAGGCCAGAAUGACGAGUACGCAGACUCCAGAAAAGACUACACCAAGAAUGAGGUCACCUGUGAUUAUAACGCCGGCUUCCAGUCCGCUCUGGCUGGUCUGGCCAGUAUGGCAAAGAGAGGAUGUCUUCCCAACUCUCCUGCCCCUAAAUGUUAAUGUGUUGGAUGUUACUCAAAUUUGUGAUCAAACAUUUUUAGUGAGAAAUAAAUUGUAUAUCUUU
rnacentral:misc_RNA from 1 species